AAAGUACACAUGGAAACGAUAUUAGAGGAUGAGUUAUAUGCAAAAUCAGGGAUCGUGACCCUUAUGAACAGAUGUCUUCUUACCAUUUCAACUCGUGGCGAACUUAUGAUGCAUCAACUGCUUCAAGAAAUGGGAAGAAACAUAGUUGGUGUAGAGUCCAAAGAUCCUGCAAAACGUAGUAGAGUAUGGCAUGAUGUUGAAUCUUAUCAAAUGUUGAGCAAAGAAGAAGGUUCAAGUACAAUUGAAGGCUUAGCACUUGACAUGCGAAAGCUCAAACAGGGGAUGUUAUUUGAGGUAUGAAAAAGAUGUAAAUUAUUGUUUGGGACAUGGAAUUGUUUACUAUGAUUUCUUUAAUCGAUUAAUGUUAUCCUACAUCAACAUGUGAAGAAAA